rnacentral:rRNA from 1 species
UACAGAGGGGCAAGCGUUGUUCGGAAUUACUGGGCGUAAAGGGCGCGUAGGCGGCCUGUUAAGUCGAACGUGAAAUCCCCGGGCUCAACCCGGGAACUGCGUCCGAUACUGGCAGGCUUGAAUCCGGGAGAGGGAUGCGGAAUUCCAGGUGUAGCGGUGAAAUGCGCAGAUAUCAGGAGGAACACCGGUGGCGAAGGCGGAUCUCUGGGCCGAUACUGACGCUGAGGAGCGAAGCGUGGGGAGCGAACAGG